CCUGUUUGAUCCUAUUAGUAGUCAUAUGCUUGUCUCAAAGAUUAUGCCAUGCAUGUGCAAGUAUGAACUAAUUCGAACUAUGAAACUUUGAAUGGCUCAUUAAAUCAGUUAUAGUUUGUUUGGUGGUACGUGCUACUCGGAUAACAAAAGUAAUUCUAGAGAUAAUAUGUGCAACAAACCCUGACUUUCAGGAGGGUUGUGUUUACUAGAUAAAAGGCUGACACGGGCUUUGUUCGCUAAUCCUAUAAUUCAUGAUAACUUGAUAGAUCGCAUGGCCCUCGUGCUGACAAAGCAUCAUUCAAAUUUCUGCCCUAUCAACGUUUGAUGGUAGGAUAGGGGCCUACCAUGGUGGUGACGGGUGACACAGAAUUAGGGUCUGAUUCUAGAGUGGGAGCUUGAGAAAAGACUACCACAUCCAAGGAAGCAUGCAGGUGGGCAAAUUACCCAAUCCGAACAUGGGGAGGUACAAUACUAGACACAUUAGUGUCUGGUAAUUGGAAUGAGUACAAUCUAUAUCCGUUAAUGAGGAUCCAUUAGAGGGCAAUUUUGGUGCUAGCAACCAUGAUAAUUCUAGCUCUAAUAGCGUAUAUUUAAGUUGUUGCAGUUAAAAAGCUCAUAGUUGGACCUUGGGUAGGGUCAGUUGGUCCGCAUCACGAAGAGAACCGACCUACUUAACCCUUCUACCGGUGAUGUGCUCCUGGCCUUAAUUGGUUGGGUCGUGCCUCUAGUCAUGUUACUUUGAAGAAAUUAGAGUGCUCAAAUGAAGCCAUCGCUCUAGAUACAUUAAUAUGGGAUAACAUCAUAGGAUUUCGGUCCUAUUGUGUUGGCCUUCGUUAUCGGAGUAAUGAUUAAUAGGGAAAAUCGAGGGCAUUUGUAUUUCUUUGUCAGAGGUGAAAUUCUUGGAUUUUUAAAAGACGAACAACUGCGAAAGCAUUUGCCAAGAAUGUUUUCAUUAAUCAAGAAUGAAAGUUAGGGGCUCAAAGAUGAUCAGAUAUUGUCCUUGUCUCAACCAUAAACGGUGCAAACCAUGGAUUAGCGGAUGUUGCUUAUAGGACUCCAUAGCCACCUUGUGAGAAAUCAAAGUCUUUGGGUUCUAGUGGAGUAUGGUCGCAAGGAUGAAACUUAAAGGGAACUGUCACUUCAGGCAAAGGCCAAUGGACCAACUUGCUGAGGACCUUGUCAAUGCUCUAGUCUCUUCUACCAAGGUGGAAAACAGGGAUGGUUUGACUCCAUUAGAAUUUGUCACAGCUCUGAUUAGCAAAUUUGUUGCUAGAGCGUCACCGUUUGUUGAUUCUAAUGAACUAUUCUCUUGGACGAGCCUUUGUUGCGCGAUAUUAGCACAGUUCAUGAUAGUUGUCGGGUGCUAAACAUGUUUGUAAAUCAUACAUGCAUGUUAUCUAAAGCUACUUAUUCUACAAUUCUCUAGGCUGGUGCUGACGUGAACUUCCAACGUUCACCUGUGACAACUAUGUUACUAGGUGGAGUUAGCAUUGGCUUAGUGAACAUUGUCAAUUUCUUUCUAGAGGCUAGAGCUGACCCUAAUAUUCAUGAUGGAUAGAGCCAGAUGCGGGCAGCGAGAGCGCACUAGGUUCACUGACGCCGCUGACCUCCAACUUCUACUCAAGCAACUGGUUAGCCACGGGGCAUGGGCUGAGGCAGGCCACCGACAGCGACUAGCCUAAGUUCACGUCACUAGAAGGGCUUAUCCACUCACUCCCUUUCCCAUUCAGACUUUGA
rnacentral:rRNA from 1 species